AUGAUAAAAAUAACUGAAGGAAAAACUAUUAAAGUUCCAAUUUAUUUUUCAUCCAAAAAAUUUUUUUAUAUAUUAUUAAAAAAAAUAAAACUGUUAAUACAAAAGAAAUUGGAAGCAGAGACAAAUGUGACUAGUAAAAUGAACAACAUCGAUAGAAAUAAAAAUAACAAAACAGGCAAAAUAAAAAAAAAAAAAAAAUAUAUUUAUGAACUGUUUUUAGAAAAUAAAAAGAAUAGAUUACUAUUAAAAAAAUAUUUAAAAAAAACAAAAAAAAUAUUAAAAAAUAUAAAUAGUUGUAUAACAGAUGGGAAAGAAAUGUAUGGGUUUAACGACAUGGGAUAUUGUACUCUCGUUAACCAAAUGGACAACAUGAAUCAAAAUUCUAGUAAUGAAAGUAGUGGCAAUAACAAAAACAUUGUUAGUGAGAAAAUAAACGAAACAAACGAAACAAACGAAACAAACGAAAUGUAUGAAAAAUUGUGUAAAAUAAAAAACCAAUUGAUGCGUAAUAAUGAUUUGUAUGAAGUUUUUUAUAUAUAUAACACUCAUAUUAAAAAAACAAAAAAAAAAAAAAAAAAAAAAAAUUCUAAAUAUAAACCAUUGAAAAAAAAUGUGACUAUAAAUGAAUUGACAUUAAAAUGUGAAAAAAAUAACAUUAUUAAUAAAAUUACGAAUAAAAAAAAUAAUGACAUAUUUACUGGUAGUUUAUGUAGUAGUGUCGUUUAUACUGGCACUGUUAUUGAAAUCGAUGACGAUUCUACUGUUAGUACUAAUUUGCAAACCAAUAUAAAGACUAGUGCUAAAAAUAAUAUAUCAGUUAAAUGUAAUACACUAUCAAAUAUAAAGAGUACAUCGGAAGAAGUUAACCUAGCUGUUUAUAAAUCCCAAACAAAAACAACCGUAUUAAAUCUGUUUCCUAAAUAUAUUAAUAAGAAAAUGAAUUUAUACAACAAAAUAAAAGCUAAUUUAAAACAACAAAAAGAAUUAGGAGUGGUAACAAAAAAAAUUAAUCCUUAUGAUAAAAAAAAAAAUAAUAUUCCUAGAUUAAACAAGCUGAUGAAUAAAAGAAAUUAUUUGGUAAGUGAUACAAAAGGGUGUAUCGAUAAUGUUAAACAGUUUGAUACUGUUAGUGUCAAUGGCAUUUCUAAGAAGACUAGCGGUUAUAAGAAAGUUGAUAGAAAUAAAAAUUCUUAUAUUGAUAAAGAUACAACUACUUUUAAAACUGUUUCAAGCAUAUAUGACAGAAUAAACACAGAAAAAAAAAAAAAAAAUAUUAUUUCCAAUUUAAUUUUAGAAAAAAAAAAAGCAUUAUUUGGGGAAAAAAUAUUAUGUAGUAGUGUAAUCAAAGAAAAGAGUAUAAUGAAAAAAAAAAAAAAAAAAACACCAACAAUAAAUAUAACAAAGGAUUUUAUAUUUAUGAAUAAUAAAAAAAUGGAAACCACGCAAAUUGAACAAAUAAAAAAUAGUGACGGAUGUAAUGACAACUUAAGCCAAACAGGUAUAUGUGAUAACAAUACGAUUCAAACAGGUAUAUGUGAUGACAACACGAGCCAAACAGGUAUAUGUGANNNNNNNNNNAGGUAUAUGUGA
ensembl:lncRNA